GUAAAGAGGAAAUAGGUGAUGAAGAAGAGGGCGACAAUGGUAAUGUAGCUUUACGGACCAUUAACACAUGUUCUGAGCCUCUCGGCUCUACUGGUGCUUCUUGAUGUCAUUUGUCAUCAAAAGUUGAAUUUUCUAUUUGCUCCAAUUCAGUCUUCCCAUCCUGUCUGCCACUGCUCUAACAAAAAUUAAGUUUUCUUAUCACAGAGGCUUGGAACAAAGAAAUCCCUCAAUUAUGUAUGGCUUUAGAAGUGUCAUUCUUUUCCCCUUCUUUUCUGCCACUUAAUUUAUGCAUGUCUUUGUGGUUCCAUUGCUCUGCAGUACAGAGACUAAGCUACACAAAGAGAUGGAAUGAAAAGGCUGUUUGUGGUGGUAUCAAAAGACAAUUCAAUUCAACUCCAGGGUCUAGCACUAAACACAAAUGUUUUCCCCUCUUUGAAUUCCUCUUCUGUUUUUCUAGAUGCUGGGGGAAAAGAGGACGUGGAGAUGGGGAGUCAAAAUCCAGAUGAAGAUGUAGGAAACGAGGAGCCAAAUCAAGAAAAGAUUGAAGAGAAAAAUGAAAACCAAGAGAAAAAGGAGGAUAUGGACAACAACGACAGAGCUGAGGAGAAAGGCAUCGACAAAGAUAAAGAUAAAGGAGACAAAGCAGAGGAAGAAAAACCUGCAGCAAAGACAGAAGACGAGGAAACAGAAAAGUCCACUGUGGACAUGGAAGAUGUUUCCGAGAUCAAUGAACCUGGCACCAGCAAUGGAGAGGAGAUGAAAGAUCAUGUUGAGAGCUCAGAAGAACCUGAUUCAAUUCCAACCGACAGCAAUCAGUCCAAAGACACUGUUGAGAAGAAGGAAUGACCAGCCGAGGGAAAGGACAAUCAACCUCAUCUGACAGCCAGCAAACUGUGCAGAGGCCAACCACACUGGUGUCAGACCGGCCCAUGUCAGCUGUGGCUCUGACACUGGCCCAGGACGCUCACAUUCCCGACUUUAUUUAGCCUUUUCUUCCCUCUUUGUUAAGAAACUACUCAUCCCGUCUGUAUGUAUAUGUAUGUAUGUAUGGCCAAAACCUUGCUAUACGACUUGAACAUAUCAACCACAAAAGAUGAGCCAUAACUCACUGUGCGUUAGAGUCAUACAUCAUUUUCAAGGCUGGGUGCGAUGAGAUAAACCAGGUUAAAGUCUCUUUUUCUUUUUUCUCUUAUCUCAACCCACUGUGAGAGCAUGGCAGAGCUGUCAGAGGACAACAGACAGAGCUCCUACAUGUUGACACUCCAGGCUGGGUGAUGCUUAACAUCAUCCACCCUUUUGUUCUUACAACUCAACUGACGCCGCCGCCGUCAUGAUGACACCCAACGGUGACACCACCCUGCAUUUGUGAGCCUCUUUGGAGUGCAACACACUGACACCUGCCAUGUCUCCUCACACGCUCCUGCAGAUCGAGCUCCAUUGUUUAGUUAAAUCAACCGAUACCUUGAUUCAAUAAGGCGAGGUGCCACUUCCAGGCCUUUCAUCUAUGAACAUCACUGAUUAUAUGUCUUAUCUCCACCGCUGCUGUAACUGCAGCUUAACUCGUUUUACAAGGAAACUCUCCAUCAGCGCCCACGCACACUUAAGAGGAUGUGAGUGUCUUUUAACAAAUCGAUUACCCCCCUCCCUUUUUUUUUCUAAGCCAUUUCCAGUGCAUGCCAGAAAAUUGCUUUGAACGUCCCCAACAUAAAACAGGAUUUACUGUCCUAUUCGCUUUCGCUUGUCUCUUUACCAGAUUGUCUAUAAUUGUAUCGAAGGAAUCUGCCUUAUUUCAUAAGAAACUACAAAACACAAUCACAGACCUAUGGAGGUGGUCCAAGUAUGAAUUCUUGGUUGUGUAACGCUUGCUGAUGAUUUGUAAUUUUAAGUACAUCAUGUAAUGGCUAAUACCUGUCGUUAAUGUUUUCUUUGUUUUCCUUCAAUUGAUUAGAAAAAAUGGUUGGUUUGGGUUUCUUUUAUUGUUGGUAUGAUUCAUGAAUUAUUUUCAGUGGUGCCAUACAACAGAUCAGAUGGAUAAUUAAAGUUAUAUGAAAUGAUGCCUUCAUACUUUGAUGUUUGCUUUGCUAAACUAUAACAGAAACAACUAAUAAAGUUAAAGGUGGAAGCCAUGUCUCAGCUUUUAAUGUACUCGUCAUGUGUCUUGUUUUUACCUGUGUCGUUGCAAAAGCUGAUAUUUGCGAUUAAAGAGGCAAUGAGCCAUUUUUACAAAAAUACACCUUUUGUAAAAAGGGAAUAUUUCCUCACGGUCCGCU
ensembl:lncRNA